rnacentral:rRNA from 1 species
GAUGAACGCUAGCGGGAGGCCUAACACAUGCAAGCCGAGCGGUAUUUGUUCUUCGGAACAGAGAGAGCGGCGCACGGGUGCGGAACACGUGUGCAACCUGCCUUUAUCUGGGGGAUAGCCUUUCGAAAGGAAGAUUAAUACCCCAUAAUAUAUUGAGUGGCAUCAUUUGAUAUUGAAAACUCCGGUGGAUAGAGAUGGGCACGCGCAAGAUUAGAUAGUUGGUGAGGUAACGGCUCACCAAGUCAAUGAUCUUUAGGGGGCCUGAGAGGGUGAUCCCCCACACUGGUACUGAGACACGGACCAGACUCCUACGGGAGGCAGCAGUGAGGAAUAUUGGACAAUGGGUUAGCGCCUGAUCCAGCCAUCCCGCGUGAAGGACGACGGCCCUAUGGGUUGUAAACUUCUUUUGUAUAGGGAUAAACCUACUCUCGUGAGAGUAGCGGAAGGUACUAUACGAAUAAGCACCGGCUAACUCCGU